ACGUAGGUGGCAAGCGUUGUCCGGAAUUAUUGGGCGUAAAGCGCGCGCAGGUGGUUAUAUAAGUCUGAUUUUAAAGUUCGGGGCUCAACCCCGUGAUGGAUUGGAAACUGUAUGACUUGAGUACAGUAGAGGUAAGCGGAAUUCCCAGUGUAGCGGUGAAAUGCGUAGAUAUUGGGAGGAACACCAGUGGCGAAGGCGGCUUACUGGGCUGUAACUGACACUGAGGCGCGAAAGCUAGGGGAGCAAACGG
rnacentral:rRNA from 1 species